UCCGGCGUCCAACUCUCUGUAUGGAGAUCCCUGUGUAGGAACCUACAAGUACCUGGAUGUGGCUUACACCUGUGGCUAAAUGAGAUCUUCUCUGAGGAACAUAGACCAGAGAGACCACUUGGAUAUCUUCCUCUUCAUUGGGCGGAUUUGUAUUUCUUUCCUGUCUUCUCUCCUCUGAAGUCUCAAUUGAGUGUAAAAUCGAUGUAAAUUCUAUGUAAAUUCAAAAUGUGUAAAUCCCAUUGAUUGUGUAUUUCAUCAGGCAUAAUUUGUGUGUAAUAAAACCAUA